GCAGCAGGCGCGCAAAUUACCCACUCCCAGAACGGGGAGGUAGUGACGAAAAAUAACGAUACGGGACUCUUUUGAGACCCCGUAAUUGGAAUGAGUUCACUCUAAAUCCUUGCACGAGGAUCCAUCGGAGGGAAAGUCUGGUGCCAGCAGCCGCGGUAAUUCCAGCUCCGAUAGCGUAUAUUAAAGUUGUUGCGGUUAAAAAGCUCGUAGUUGGAUCUCAGUUCCAGACGGGUGGUCCGCCUACCGGUGGUCACUGCCUGUUCUGAACAGCCAGCCGGUUUCUCUUGAUGAUCUUCACCGGUUGUCUUGGGUGACCGGCAAGUUUACUUUGAAAAAAUUAGAGUGCUCAAAGCAGGCGUGACGCCUGAAUAGAUGGUGCAUGGAAUAAUGGAAUAGGACCUCGGUUCUAUUUUGUUGGUUUUCGGAUCACGAGGUAAUGAUUAAGAGGGACAGACGGGGGCAUUCGUAUUGCGACGCUAGAGGUGAAAUUCUUGGACCGUCGCAAGACGAACUACUGCGAAAGCAUUUGCCAAGAAUGUUUCCAUUAAUCAAGAACGAAAGUUAGAGGUUCGAAGGCGAUCAGAUACCGCCCUAGUUCUAACCAUAAACGAUGCCAGCCAGCGAUCCGGCUGUGUUCCUCAAAUGACACGCCGGGCAGCUUCCGGGAAACCAAAGCUUUUGGGUUCCGGGGGAAGUAUGGUUGCAAAGCUGAAACUUAAAGGAAUUGACGGAGGGGCACUACCAGGAAUGGAGCCUGCGGCUUAAUUUGACUCAACACGGGAAAACUCACCCGGCCCGGACACAGGAAGGAUUGACAGAUUAAGAGCUCUUUCUUGAUUCUGUGGGUGGUGGUGCAUGGCCGUCCAUAGUUGGUGGAGUGAUUUGUCUGGUUUAUUCCGAUAACGAACGAGGCUCUAGCCUACUAAAUAGACGUUCCGAUCCUCUACGUCGGACGUUCUUCUUAGAGGGACAAGCGGCGUUUAGCCGCACGACACAGAGCGAUGACAGGUCUGUGAUGCCCUUAGAUGUCCGGGGCCGCACGCGCGCUACAUUGAAGGAGUCAGCGUGUGUUUCCCCUGUCCGGCAGGACUGGGUAACCCGAUGAACCUCCUUCGUGCUGGGGAUAGGGGCCUGUAAUUGUUCCCCUUGAACGAGGAAUUCCUAGUAAGCGCGAAUCAUCAUUUCGUGUUGAUUACGUCCCUGCCCCUUGUGCACACCGCCCGUCGCUACUACCGAUUGAAUGAUUUAGUGAGGUCUUCGGACUGGCGCUCGGGUCGCGGCCCUCGGGCCGCGCCGGCGUGCCGGAAAGACGACCAAACUUGAUCAUUUAGAGG
rnacentral:rRNA from 1 species